CCUCCAGCUAGAAUCAGUGUGAACAAAAGCAAGCAGAGCAGCAGGAGCUCACGGCGAGUGGAAGGGCCACGUCCACUUCUGCUGUGUGGAUGGGGUCUGCAUGGGCUGGACUGCAGAAGCCCAGUGGAGCACCACGUGAGGCUUUGCCAACAAGUUAGCAGAAGGCAGCGGCCAGCCACAUAACCUCUUGGCUUCAGCUGCUUCAUUGGUAACAUCAAGAGCUCCUCAGCCUGAAACUGCAAGCUCACAGCUUUGGGGAUCUGAAGCAUAAGAAGCACUGAGAAGCCCAGAGCAAAGAGACACAGGCACCCCUGUCAGUCCUGGAAGUCUCUGAUCCCAGUCCUCCUCCCCAGGUGGGCACUAAGUACCUCGUCGUCUACCGCAUAAGCAAAGAGGAGCCGCAGUCACAGCCGCGUCCAAAGACUUCUCACCAGGACUGUCAGGAGGGCUUGGCAACAGCAGCUGACACUGGCAUUUUAGAAGAACUUAAGUUGCUUUGAGAAUAAAUCCCAUUUUUAAAGAAACUGUCUUUCCUUCUGGGAAUUAAAUUGCUUGACUAGAUUUCUCUUAAGUGAGUCAUAAAGAAGAGAAGCAGCGUUCACUUUGUCCUGCACUAGACACUUUCUGGGCAGGAGAGUUGUUGCCAGUAGAGGGUGGCACAGCUGGCAGAAGCGAGGGCUGGUACAAAGUUCAGGGCGGAGGCCGGGAGCCGGGUUUUUCUGAAGUACACAGACGCAUGAGAGAAAAUGAAUAUGAAAAUCCACAUGCUUCAAAAAUAAAACCACUGAAACGACUAUUUAAGAUUUAAGUGGGAAUAUUCUAAGUAAGAGAAAAUGUUUUAUGCAUCUACUUUUCAAGUUAGAAGCAGGAAACAGAAAACUAUUUAGAAUGAACAACAAUUAAAAAUAGACUCCAAUCUCGCUGCGUCCAAGUUGAUGCAGAAGGGAGGGGCAAGACGGGAGGAAACGAGGCAGGCGGCAGGGGAGUCCCAGGGAGAGCGGACGCGGGCUGCGAGCCUGAGCAGCGUGCGUGAAUCUCCACUUUUUUUCUGAAAUUCACACUGAACAGGCCUCUUCCGCACUGCAACACAGCCUGAAAACUUUCCUUUUCACACUGCAAAGGGCUUUUGUAAAAGGCAAGUAUAUCCCUCUGUGGAGUUUCAGAAAGGAAAACUAAGGACUUAGAAUCACUGUCCGGGAAUUUAACGCAGAGGGGUCCACAGCACACCAGGCCCCUUUGGGAAUGUAGCAAAACCAGCCAAAACAGAGAAACUAUAAAAGCCAACCGAGAAACCCCCUCCGGAGCCGCGCCACUGCACAGUGUGGGCCGGCCAACACCCGCGGAGUCAGUCCCAGAGGGCGGUGCCCGGCAGCAGCCAGAGCAGGCGCGGCCAGGAGGAGAGCGCAGGGUGCUAAGGAGGAGCCCAGGGGUGCGUUUCAGGGGUUCAAAAGCAUGCUUUAUAUUUUGGAAAGUUUUCUAUCCAAUCUGUUUUAUUUUCUUAAACUAGGUAUUCAAACUUAUGCUUCCUAGAAAGUUAUCAUGUCGAAGAACUAAAUCACUGGUGACAUUACUUUAAACACCUAGAUUUUCAGCUAGAUUGCAGUUGGCACAUGUCUGAAACCCUGGUGCUAGGUGGUUAAGACAGGAGGGUCACCAGGAGUGUGAGGUCAGCCUUGGACAUAGAGUGAGUUCAAGCCAACCUGAACCGUAUAGCAAGAUCCUGUUGAGAGGCUCACAGCCUCCAGGUCUAAGAGGCCCUACCUACGCCCAGAGGACGCGGGCCUGGGGCAGCCUGGAGCUGUCCGAGAUAAGAGAAGCAAGAGUCAUGUAAUCCAAGCAGGAACUAGGGAUGAAAAUCUCAACACUGAAAAUGCCCAGCAAGAAAACAAAGAAAAAGAUGAAAAGGAGCUACAUGCUAAUAAAGGGGAGCCUCAGCCCUGCCUUGCGAAGCUGAUGGAUACGGGGUGCCUAAUGCAAAUCCAAGGACAUUCGAAGUCGGGCAGCCAUCCUGCACGAAAGAGGGAACCUGAUGCAUAGGCUUGGAGAGCCAUGGGCACGGAUGCGAGAAGAGCAUGUGGGAAGGUUUGGGAGGAGUGAGACGCCUCACGGAAAAGCUUUCGGGCAGCUAGUAGUGAUCGUCCUCGCCACGAGCAUCACAGCGCCUUCGGCCUUAUGCCCUGAGUUGGGUGUUUUCCCUGAAGUUAAAACACCUUCGGAAACACCCGCUUCCUAACCUUAUGUGUGUGAGGUACUAUGGUGAGCCUUUUGAUGUCACGGCUUUGCAUGUGCCUCCUAUGACAGCUUCUAACAGAGUUUAUUUUUGACCCAGACUGUAUCACUUUCAGUAGCAGACUAUGCCUAUUGCAUGGAAAGAUGCUCAUAACAUACUGUGAGGU